GACGAACGCGGGCGGCGUGCCUAAUACAUGCAAGUAGAACGCACAGUUUAUACCGUAGCUUGCUACACCAUAGACUGUGAGUUGCGAACGGGUGAGUAACGCGUAGGUAACCUGCCUGGUAGCGGGGGAUAACUAUUGGAAACGAUAGCUAAUACCGCAUAAUAUUAAUUAUUGCAUGAUAAUUGAUUGAAAGAUGCAAUUGCAUCACUACCAGAUGGACCUGCGUUGUAUUAGCUAGUAGGUGAGGUAACGGCUCACCUAGGCGACGAUACAUAGCCGACCUGAGAGGGUGAUCGGCCACACUGGGACUGAGACACGGCCCAGACUCCUACGGGAGGCAGCAGUAGGGAAUCUUCGGCAAUGGACGAAAGUCUGACCGAGCAACGCCGCGUGAGUGAAGAAGGUUUUCGGAUCGUAAAGCUCUGUUGUAAGAGAAGAACGGGUGUGAGAGUGGAAAGUUCACACUGUGACGGUAUCUUACCAGAAAGGGACGGCUAACUACGUGCCAGCAGCCGCGGUAAUACGUAGGUCCCGAGCGUUGUCCGGAUUUAUUGGGCGUAAAGCGAGCGCAGGCGGUUAGAUAAGUCUGAAGUUAAAGGCUGUGGCUUAACCAUAGUACGCUUUGGAAACUGUUUAACUUGAGUGCAGAAGGGGAGAGUGGAAUUCCAUGUGUAGCGGUGAAAUGCGUAGAUAUAUGGAGGAACACCGGUGGCGAAAGCGGCUCUCUGGUCUGUAACUGACGCUGAGGCUCGAAAGCGUGGGGAGCGAACAGG
rnacentral:rRNA from 1 species